UACGGGGGGAGCAAGCGUUGUUCGGAUUUACUGGGCGUAAAGGGCGCGUAGGCGGCGUGACAAGUCACUUGUGAAAUCUCCGGGCUUAACUCGGAACGGCCAAGUGAUACUGUCGUGCUAGAGUGCAGAAGGGGCAACUGGAAUUCUCGGUGUAGCGGUGAAAUGCGUAGAUAUCUGGAGGAACACCGGUGGCGAAGGCGGCAUCCUGGACCAUGACUGACGCUGAGGAGCGAAAGCCAGGGGAGCAAACGGG
rnacentral:rRNA from 1 species